rnacentral:rRNA from 1 species
AAUCAACGCUGGCGGCGUGCCUAACACAUGCAAGUCGAACGCGAAAGUCCCGCAAGGGAUUAGUAGAGUGGCAAACGGGUGAGUAACACGUGGGUGACCUGCCUUCGAGUGGGGGAUAACGUCCCGAAAGGGACGCUAAUACCGCACAACAUCCUGCCUUUGAAGAGGUGGAGAUCAAAGCUGGGGACCGCAAGGCCUGGCGCUGGAAGGAGGGGCCCGCGUCUGAUUAGCUAG